rnacentral:rRNA from 1 species
UACGGAGGAUGCAAGCGUUAUCCGGAAUGAUUGGGCGUAAAGCGUCCGCAGGUGGCUAUGUAAGUCUGCUGUUAAAGAGUGAGGCUCAACCUCAUAAAAGCAGUGGAAACUACAUGGCUAGAGUGCGUUCGGGGCAGAGGGAAUUCCUGGUGUAGCGGUGAAAUGCGUAGAGAUCAGGAAGAACACCGGUGGCGAAGGCGGCUUCCUGGACCGACACUGACGCUGAGGCGCGAAAGCUAGGGGAGCAAACGGG